rnacentral:rRNA from 1 species
UAGGGAAUCUUCCACAAUGGACGCAAGUCUGAUGGAGCAACGCCGCGUGAGUGAAGAAGGCUUUCGGAUCGUAAAGCUCUGUUGUUGGUGAAGAAGGAUAGAGGCAGUAACUGGUCUUUAUUUGACGGUAAUCAACCAGAAAGUCACGGCUAACUACGUGCCAGCAGCCGCGGUAAUACGUAGGUGGCAAGCGUUGUCCGGAUUCAUUGGGCGUAAAGCGAGCGCAGGCGGAAUGAUAAGUCUGAUGUUAAAGCCCACGGCUCAACCGUGGAACUGCAUCUGAAACUGUCAUUCUUGAGUGCAGAAGAGGAGAGUGGAAUUCCAUGUGUAGCGGUGGAAUGCGUAGAUAUAUGGAAGAACACCAGUGGCGAAGGCGGCUCUCUGGUCUGCAACUGACGCUGAGGCUCGAAAGCAUGGGUAGCGAACAGG